UGGUACCGGAGUAGUUAUUUUUUUACGCAGCUCGAGUCGCGCCGAUGUGGGCGGUUUCACAAUUAGCUGCUGCCGUAGCAGCAGACGACAGAAUAUGAGACGUUGAGUCCAUGACCAGCAUCUUGCCUUCUCCCUGAAUCGCCGCUCUUUCCGUUUACCCGCCGCCCCUGGACUCUGCCUUGGACUGAGCGCCGUAUUUUUUUUUGAACGGCAGCUGCCGCACCGAGAAGCGAAAGAUCGGUGCUGCUGACACGGCGACUGUUCCUUCCGACGACACUUUACUGAUUCAUCGCCGGAUUACAGUAGACCGAUCGCGACUCUUCCUCUUCCUCCUCCUCCUGCCGCCGCCCCUCUGCUGAUCCUGUUCAACCUCCGCAUUUUGGGCGAAAAAAAAGAGGCUGAGCCGAACUACAGUCAAAACGUCCGCGGGUCCGUCGAAAUAGCAAAAUGAAGAUCAAAGACGCCAAGAAGCCUUCAUUCCCUUGGUUUGGAAUGGAUAUUGGUGGAACGCUUGUGAAACUAGUUUAUUUUGAGCCAAUUGAUAUUACAGUUGAAGAGGAGGAGGAAGAGGUAGAAAGCCUAAAAAGUAUUCGUAAGUACUUGGUGUCAAAUGUUGCCUAUGGAUCUACGGGCAUCCGAGAUGUGCAUCUUGAGCUCAAAGACUUGACGCUUUGUGGCCGCAAAGGAAACCUGCACUUUAUUCGAUUUCCUACACAUGACCUACCUACCUUCAUUCAAAUGGGCAGAAAUAAGAAUUUUUCAACACUACAUACAGUGCUCUGUGCCACUGGAGGUGGUGCUUAUAAAUUUGAAGAAGAAUUUCGAAUGAUUGGCAAUCUGCAGUUACAUAAACUGGAUGAAUUGGACUGCCUGGUCAAUGGCCUCUUGCACAUUGACUCUCUCAGUUUUAAUGGCCAAGCAGAAUGUUAUUAUUUUGAGAAUGCCUCAGAUCCUGAGAAGUGCCAGAAGAUGCCUUUCAACCUUGAUGACCCCUACCCUUUACUUGUGGUGAACAUUGGGUCAGGAGUUAGCAUAUUAGCUGUAUAUUCAAAGGACCAGUAUAAGAGAGUAACUGGAACCAGCUUAGGAGGUGGAACCUUCCUGGGCCUCUGUUGUUUACUUACAGGUUGUGAGACUUUUGAUGAAGCCCUUGAAAUGGCAUCUAAAGGUGACAGCACCAUGGCUGACAAACUAGUAAGGGACAUUUAUGGGGGAGAUUAUGAACGCUUUGGUUUGCCAGGUUGGGCGGUUGCAUCCAGCUUUGGCAACAUGAUUUGCAGGGAGAAGCGAGAUUCAGUCAGCAAAGAAGACCUCGCAAGGGCUACAUUAGUCACCAUCACAAACAACAUAGGAUCUAUUGCCCGUAUGUGUGCGCUGAAUGAGAAAAUAAAUAGAGUUGUUUUUGUUGGCAACUUCCUGCGAGUCAAUACACUUUCAAUGAAACUCCUGGCCUAUGCACUUGAUUAUUGGUCAAGAGGUCAGCUGAAGGCAUUGUUCCUGGAACAUGAGGAAUCAGAAACCAGGAGAGAGAGAGUGAAAGGAAAGCAACCAACCAAGGCUAGGGAUGGAUAGCCUGAAAUGCCUCAACAUGCUCUUCUCAGAUGAGAAAGGAAGGUACUUAAGGUGAAGGGUUACUUUGGAGCAGUAGGUGCCCUGCUUGGACUUCUCAAUUCCACUUAAGUCAAGGCAUUCAACAUCCUGGUGAUAUCUGAAGAAAUGCGCGUGUCAACAUGAUGGUUUUAAAAUAGAAAGAUUCACCCAGGGUAACAAAACCUUGUGAAAAUGUUGAAUCACACUACAGGCUGAAUGUAUCACUGAAGUAUUCUUUCUACUUGAAAAGUUUAAAAAAGUACAGAUUUUUAAAAAUUGAGCCCAAUGUAUUAGGCAUUAAGCCACUGCAUACCUUCUCAGUACAUCCCUGCUGCAAAUGGCCAUAUCUAUGAGGGUUGUUUGAUUUUGUUAAAUCUAAUCUUUAUUUAACCUUUAUCCUAGUCAAAUGGUAUCCAAAAUAUCUUGAAUUGUACGUAUGAAAAGCUUGCUUGGACAUCCGAAACCUCUGGCUAAUUAUUUACAGAAAGAUAAUAAGUGUUUCAUGGGUGCAAUGUGCAAUAAAUAAAUUGUGUGCAAUCUUGGAGUAAGGAGCUGUCUGCCUUGUGGAGAGUAGUUUUGACUGAUUCGAGGAUCCUUACGUAGUAAUACAGAUUUGUUUUAAACACACUUUAUUUAGAGAAUCACUGCAGAUAAAAUGCAUACAAUUGAGCAAAAUGGGCCAUACUCAGGCAAAAACAAAUGCAGCAGAAAUGUGACCCCUUCUGUCUAGGAAGGCCAAGGUA